rnacentral:rRNA from 1 species
GAGCGACACACGAGGAGCUUGCUCCUCUGACGUUAGCGGCGGACGGGUGAGUAACACGUGGAUAACCUACCUAUAAAACUGGGAUAACUUCGGGAAACCGGAGCUAAUACCGGAUAACAUGUUGAACCGCAUGGUUCAACAGUGAAAGACGGUCUUGCUGUCACUUAUAGAUGGAUCCGCGCCGCAUUAGCUAGUUGGUAAGGUAACGGCUUACCAAGGCAACGAUGCGUAGCCGACCUGAGAGGGUGAUCGGCCACACUGGAACUGAGACACGGUCCAGACUCCUACGGGAGGCAGCAGUAGGGAAUCUUCCGCAAUGGGCGAAAGCCUGACGGAGCAACGCCGCGUGAGUGAAGAAGGUCUUCGGAUCGUAAAACUCUGUUAUUAGGGAAGAACAAAUGUGUAAGUAACUAUGCACGUCUUGACGGUACCUAAUCAGAAAGCCACGGCUAACUACGUGCCAGCAGCCGCGGUAAUACGUAGGUGGCAAGCGUUAUCCGGAAUUAUUGGGCGUAAAGCGCGCGUAGGCGGUUUUUUAAGUCUGAUGUGAAAGCCCACGGCUCAACCGUGGAGGGUCAUUGGAAACUGGAAAACUUGAGUGCAGAAGAGGAAAGUGGAAUUCCAUGUGUAGCGGUGAAAUGCGCAGAGAUAUGGAGGAACACCAGUGGCGAAGCGACUUUCUGGUCUGUAACUGACGCUGAUGUGCGAAAGCGUGGGGAU